AGAUUGAACUGAAGAGUUUGAUCCUGGCUCAGAUUGAACGCUGGCGGGAUGCUUUACACAUGCAAGUCGGACGGCAGCACGGGCUUCGGCCUGGUGGCGAGUGGCGAACGGGUGAGUAAUGUAUCGGAACGUGCCCAGUAGCGGGGGAUAACUACGCGAAAGCGUGGCUAAUACCGCAUACGCCCUACGGGGGAAAGCGGGGGACCUUCGGGCCUCGCACUAUUGGAGCGGCCGAUAUCGGAUUAGCUAGUUGGUGGGGUAACGGCCUACCAAGGCGACGAUCCGUAGCUGGUUUGAGAGGACGACCAGCCACACUGGGACUGAGACACGGCCCAGACUCCUACGGGAGGCAGCAGUGGGGAAUUUUGGACAAUGGGGGCAACCCUGAUCCAGCCAUCCCGCGUGUGCGAUGAAGGCCUUCGGGUUGUAAAGCACUUUUGGCAGGAAAGAAACGGCACGGGCUAAUAUCCUGUGCAACUGACGGUACCUGCAGAAUAAGCACCGGCUAACUACGUGCCAGCAGCCGCGGUAAUACGUAGGGUGCAAGCGUUAAUCGGAAUUACUGGGCGUAAAGCGUGCGCAGGCGGUUCGGAAAGAAAGAUGUGAAAUCCCAGGGCUUAACCUUGGAACUGCAUUUUUAACUACCGGGCUAGAGUGUGUCAGAGGGAGGUGGAAUUCCGCGUGUAGCAGUGAAAUGCGUAGAUAUGCGGAGGAACACCGAUGGCGAAGGCAGCCUCCUGGGAUAACACUGACGCUCAUGCACGAAAGUGUGGGGAGCAAACAGGAUUAGAUACCCUGGUAGUCCACGCCCUAAACGAUGUCAACUAGCUGUUGGGGCCUUCGGGCCUUGGUAGCGCAGCUAACGCGUGAAGUUGACCGCCUGGGGAGUACGGUCGCAAGAUUAAAACUCAAAGGAAUUGACGGGGACCCGCACAAGCGGUGGAUGAUGUGGAUUAAUUCGAUGCAACGCGAAAAACCUUACCUACCCUUGACAUGUCUGGAAUCCCGAAGAGAUUUGGGAGUGCUCGCAAGAGAACCGGAACACAGGUGCUGCAUGGCUGUCGUCAGCUCGUGUCGUGAGAUGUUGGGUUAAGUCCCGCAACGAGCGCAACCCUUGUCAUUAGUUGCUACGAAAGGGCACUCUAAUGAGACUGCCGGUGACAAACCGGAGGAAGGUGGGGAUGACGUCAAGUCCUCAUGGCCCUUAUGGGUAGGGCUUCACACGUCAUACAAUGGUCGGGACAGAGGGUUGCCAACCCGCGAGGGGAGCCAAUCCCAGAAACCCGGUCGUAGUCCGGAUCGCAGUCUGCAACUCGACUGCGUGAAGUCGGAAUCGCUAGUAAUCGCGGAUCAGCAUGUCGCGGUGAAUACGUUCCCGGGUCUUGUACACACCGCCCGUCACACCAUGGGAGUGGGUUUUACCAGAAGUAGUUAGCCUAACCGCAAGGGGGCGAUUACCACGGUAGGAUUCAUGACUGGGGUGAAGUCGUAACAAGGUAGCCGUAUCGGAAGGUGCGGCUGGAUCACCUCCUUU
rnacentral:rRNA from 1 species